rnacentral:rRNA from 1 species
GAUGAACGCUGGCGGCGUGCCUAAUACAUGCAAGUCGAGCGAACAGACGAGGAGCUUGCUCCUCUGACGUUAGCGGCGGACGGGUGAGUAACACGUGGAUAACCUACCUAUAAGACUGGGAUAACUUCGGGACACCGGAGCUAAUACCGGAUAAUAUAUUGAACCCCAUGGUUCAAUAGUGAAAGACGGUUUUGCUGUCACUUAUAGAUGGAUCCGCGCCGCAUUAGCUAGUUGGUAAGGUAACGGCUUACCAAGGCAACGAUGCGUAGCCGACCUGAGAGGGUGAUCGGCCACACUGGAACUGAGACACGGUCCAGACUCCUACGGGAGGCAGCAGUAGGGAAUCUUCCGCAAUGGGCGAAAGCCUGACGGAGCAACGCCGCGUGAGUGAUGAAGGUCUUCGGAUCGUAAAACUCUGUUAUUAGGGAAGAACAAAUGUGUAAGUAACUAUGCACGUCUUGACGGUACCUAAUCAGAAAGCCACGGCUAACUACGUG